rnacentral:pre_miRNA from 1 species
UGUGUACUCCCUCCGUUCCGAAUUACUUGUCGCAGGUAUGGAUGUAUCUAUAUGUAUUUUAGUUCUAAAUACAUCCAUUUCUGCGACGAGUAAGAUACAUCCAUUUCUGCGACGAGUAAUUUGGAAUGGAGGGAGUACAUG